UACGUAGGGGGCGAGCGUUGUCCGGAUUUAUUGGGCGUAAAGAGCGUGUAGGCGGCCAGGUAGGUCUGCUGUGAAAACUCGAGGCUCAACCUCGAGACGUCGGCGGAAACCACUUGGCUAGAGUCCGGAAGAGGAGAGUGGAAUUCCCGGUGUAGCGGUGAAAUGCGCAGAUAUCGGGAAGAACACCUAUGGCGAAGGCAGCUCUCUGGGACGGUACUGACGCUGAGACGCGAAAGCGUGGGGAGCGAACAGG
rnacentral:rRNA from 1 species